UCAGAUGGCCGGAUGGCUGCUGCCUGCACCCUUGCGGUGCGGGGAGAGGAAAGUCCGGGCUCCACAGGAUCAGGAUGCCGGGUAACGCCCGGCGGGGGCGACCCCAGGGAAAGUGCCACAGAAAACA
rnacentral:RNase_P_RNA from 1 species